CACAUGCAAGUCGAACGCACCGCAAGGUGAGUGGCGCACGGGUGAGUACACGUGGAAUGUACCCUUUGGUUCGGAAUAACGUUUGGAAACGAACGCUAAUACCGGAUGAGCCCUGGUGGGGGAAAGAUUUUAUCGCCAAAGGAGCAGCCCGCGUCUGAUUAGCUAGUUGGUGAGGUAAAUUGGGCUUCACCAAGGCGACGAUCGUUAGCUGGUCUGAGAGGACGAUCAGCCACACUGGGACUGAGACACGGCCCAGACUCCUACGGGAGGCAGCAGUGGGGAAUAUUGGACAAUGGGGGCAACCCUGAUCCAGCCAUGCCGCGUGAGUGAUGAAGGCCUUCGGGUUGUAAAGCUCUUUUGGCGGGGACGAUGAUGACGGUACCCGCAGAAUAAGCCCCGGCUAACUUCGUG
rnacentral:rRNA from 1 species